rnacentral:tRNA from 1 species
GCGCCUGUAGCUCAGUCGGAUAGAGCAACUGCCUUCUAAGCAGUGGGUCGGGGGUUCGAUUCCCUCCAGGCGCGCCA